GGCCGGCUAGCUCAGUUGGUAGAGCAUGAGACUCUUAAUCCCAAGGUCGCGGGUUCGAUCCCCGUACGGGCCA